GGAUAUUUUGUCUGUUGGAAGAAACAUCAGAAGAAAUCUGCUGCCUUUGAUCUCAAUGGAAGGAACUUUAUCAGAUGAUCCUAAUGAUGACAAAACAACUGAAAGGUCUGGAAGAUCUCGCAUACAGUUGACUAUGGAGGUGACUAACAAUCUCUGAGCAGCACAGAUCUGGAUCACUAGCUUUCUCUGAAUUGGCCAACUUCUUGCAAGUAACCCUGUUUAAGAUGUCUGGACUUCAAGAUUCUAAAACAAUUGACCUUUUCUAUAACCUCUCAACAGAUGGUCCAGCUUAUUUUACAGGGACAACACCAACAAAAGCCCUAGACAGAUCCUGCUUUGUCUCAGGAGGUUUAUGCUGGUCUUUUACUUGUUUAGGUUAGUUUAUUAUAUUCAUUCUUAUUGAACAAAAGGAGGGUUUGACAAUGUCAGCUCUGUAUUUAUCUGAGCUCUGUAUUCCUGGAAAACAUUGAUGGUUAAUAAAUCCCCCAACUUUUGUGUUCAGUUUCUUACUGAAAA